UACGUAGGGGGCUAGCGUUGUCCGGAAUCAUUGGGCGUAAAGCGCGCGUAGGCGGCCAGAUAAGUCCGGUGUGAAAGUCAAAGGCUCAACCUUUGAAUGCCGCUGGAAACUGUCUGGCUAGAGUCCGGGAGGGGCGAGUGGAAUUCCUGGUGUAGCGGUGAAAUGCGCAGAUAUCAGGAGGAACACCAAUGGCGAAGGCAGCUCGCUGGAACGGUACUGCCGCUGAGGCGCGAAAGCGUGGGGAGCGAACAGG
rnacentral:rRNA from 1 species